rnacentral:rRNA from 1 species
CCUACGGGCGGCAGCAGUAGGGAAUCUUCCACAAUGGGCGAAAGCCUGAUGGAGCAACGCCGCGUGGGUGAAGAAGGUCUUCGGAUCGUAAAACCCUGUUGUUAGAGAAGAAAGUGCGGGAGAGUAACUGUUCACGUGUCGACGGUAUCUAACCAGAAAGCCACGGCUAACUACGAGCCAGCAGCCGCGGUAAUACGUAGGUGGCAAGCGUUAUCCGGAUUUAGUGGGCGUAAAGGGAACGCAGUCGGUCUGUUAAGUCUGAGGUGAAAGCCUUCGGCUUAACCGGAGUAGUGCAUUGGCAACUGGGAGACUUGAGUGCAGCAGAGGAGAGUGGAACUCCAUGUGUAGCGGUGACAUGCGUAGAUAUCUGGCAGAACACCAGUGGCGAAGGCGGCUCUCUGGUCUGUAACUGACGCUGAGGUUCGAAAGCGUGGGUAGCAAACAGGAUUAGAUACCCCUGUAGUC